CCUACGGGGGGCAGCAGUGGGGAAUCUUGGACAAUGGGCGCAAGCCUGAUCCAGCCAUGCCGCGUGAGUGACGAAGGCCUUAGGGUUGUAAAACUCUUUCGCCGGGGACGAUAAUGACGGUACCCGGAGAAGAAGCUCCGGCUAACUUCGUGCCAGCAGCCGCGGUAAUACGAAGGGGGCUAGCGUUGUUCGGAUUUACUGGGCGUAAAGCGCAUGUAGGCGGGCCGUUAAGUUGGGGGUGAAAGCCCGGAGCUCAACUCCGGAAUUGCCUUCAA
rnacentral:rRNA from 1 species